UGUUAAAAAAAUUAUCUACUUGUAUUAUUAAAAAUUUAUGUAGCUGAUGUAAUAAUCGGACAAUGUUAUGUGACGUGUCACGCGCACAUUAUAUUAAUGUACAUGAAUCAAUUUUUAACCAUAAAAAUAGAUGAAAUUUUUAAUA
rfam:Gossypium arboreum cultivar AKA8401 contig_2173_3, whole genome shotgun sequence.